CAGAAUGAUUUUCAGAAACUGCUUUGUGAUGUGUGCGUUCAACUCACAGAGUUUCAACUUUCUUUUCAUAGAGCAGUUAGGAAACACUCUGUUUGUAAAGUCUACAAGUGGAUAUUCAGACCUCUUUGAGGCCUUCGUUGGAAACGGGAUUUCUUUAUAUUAUGCUAGACAGAAGAAUUCUCAGUAACUUCCUUGUGUUGUGUGUAUUCAACUCACAGAGUUGAACGAUCCUUUACACAGAGCAGAUUUGAAACACUCUUUUUGUGGAAUUUGUAAGUGGAGAUUUCAGCCGCUUUGAG
rnacentral:lncRNA from 10 species